rnacentral:rRNA from 1 species
GGUGUAACGAGUGGAGCACUGUCUCAACGAGGGACCCGGCGAAAUUGAAGUACGUGUAAAGAUGCGCGUUACCCGCAGCAGGACAAAAAGACCCCGUGGAGCUUUACUGUAGCCUGUCAUUGCGUUAGGGCGUGGCCUGUGUAGGAUAGCUGGGAGGCAGGGAACUCUGGGCGCUAGCCUGGGGGGAGCCAAUGUUGAAAUACCAGCCUGGUGGCGCUUUGGCCCUAACCGACACUUGUGAAGCCAGGUGGGGGACAGUGGCAGGUAGGCAGUUUGACUGGGGCGGUCGCCUCCUAAAGAGUAACGGAGGCGCCCAAAGGUUGGCUCAGGCUGAAUGGAAACCAGCCAAAGAGUGUAAAGGCACAAGCCAGCUUGACUGCGAGACGGACGAGUCGAGCAGAGACGAAAGUCGGGCUUAGUGAUCCCACGGUGCUGAGUGGAAGGGCCGUGGCUUACCGGAUAAAAGCUACCCCGGGGAUAACAGGCUAGUCUUCUCCAAGAGCUCACAUCGACGAGAAGGCUCGGCACCUCGAUGUCGGCUCAUCGCAUCCUGGGGCUGAAUAAGGUCCCAAGGGUUGGGCUGUUCGCCCAUUAAAGCGGUACGCGAGCUGGGUUCAGACCGUCGUGAGACAGGUCGGUCUCUAUCCGCUGUGGGCGUUGGGAGUUUGCGGGGAGCUGCCCCUAGUACGAGAGGACCGGGGUGGACGCAGCGCUCGUGUGCCGGUUGUGUCGCCAGAUGCAUUGCCGGGUAGCGAGCUGCGGAUGGGAUAACCGCUGAAAGCAUCUAAGUGGGAAGCCCACCCCAAGAUGAGACUCCCCAUCCCUAAAAGGGAGUAAGACCGCUGGCAGACCACCAGUUGGAUAGGCCGGGAGUGGAAGCGCAGCAAUGUGUGGAGCUGACCGGUACUAAUGGUCGAGGGCUUAACCCG